rnacentral:lncRNA from 1 species
UGUUUGUCCCAGGCAAGGAGUUCUGUGGUGUCCAUAGGAGCUUUGAAUUAAGGACUCCGGGGUUUUCAGGGAAUGGAUCAGAGGGAUGAAAACAUGGGCAGAUAAAGCCAGAACUUGACCCAGAAGAGUGUCAGAAGAGGCUGGCAGGAAAGAAGAGACCUUCAGGAGCUCUCUUAAGUAGUCUCUCAGAAAACUAGAAAAUCAAAAUUAAGAAAGGAUGAGAUUGGAGCACUUGUCUCAACACAAUCUCUGCCAUCUUAAAAAAAAAAAAAAAAGACCCAUUUCUUUAAAAUUACAACCCCACAAGAGCCUAUGAAGAUUUAAACUUGUUUUACUGAACCCAGAGAAGCUGCCUCUCUGUCCUCUGUUAGGAGACUGCAUCCAGAGCUUCACCCUGCCUGCUGACCACACCAGAUUUAACAAGGUUCGCAAAUGAACUAGAGUAAGUUUCCCACAGUGACACAUUAAUAAUAAGUUCCUUAUCCCAUCUAUCCCAAGCCAUGAAUAUGUAAUGUUAGAAAAUGAGUCCUUUUUCACACACAACAGAACCUCAGACGUGAAUAAAUAAAAACUAUCCA